CCUACGGGUGGCAGCAGUGAGGAAUAUUGGUCAAUGGACGCGAGUCUGAACCAGCCAAGUCGCGUGAAGGAUGACUGCCCUAUGGGUUGUAAACUUCUUUUAUAUGGGAAUAAAACGUUCCACGUGUGGGAUUUUGUCUGUACCUUAUGAAUAAGCAUCGGCUAACUCCGUGCCAGCAGCCGCGGUAAUACGGAGGAUUCGAGCGUUAUCCGGAUUUAAUGGGUUUAAAGGGAGCGUAGGUGGAGUGUUAAGUCAGUUGUGAAAGUUAGCGGCUCAACCCUAAAAUUGCAGUUGAAACUGGCAGCCUUGAGUGCAGGAGAGGUGGGCGGAAUUCGUGGUGUAGCGGUGAAAUGCUUAGAUAUCACGAAGAACACCGAUUGCGAAGGCAGUUCACUGGACUGCAACUGACGCUGAGGCUCGAAAGUGUGGGGAUCAAACAGGAUUAGAUACCCUUGUAGUC
rnacentral:rRNA from 1 species